UGAGCCAAGUUUAGGGUUUCUUAAAAACCCAAGCAGUAUUGAACUGAAGAGUUUGAUCAUGGCUCAGAUUGAACGCUGGC
rnacentral:rRNA from 1 species